rnacentral:rRNA from 1 species
GGAUUAGAUACCCUGGUAGUCCACGCCGUAAACGAUGUCUACUAGCCGUUGGGAGACUUGAUUUCUUAGUGGCGCAGCUAACGCACUAAGUAGACCGCCUGGGGAGUACGGCCGCAAGGUUAAAACUCAAAUGAAUUGACGGGGGCCCGCACAAGCGGUGGAGCAUGUGGUUUAAUUCGAUGCAACGCGAAGAACCUUACCAGGCCUUGACAUUUAGCGAACUUUCCAGAGAUGGAUUGGUGCCUUCGGGAACGCUAGGACAGGUGCUGCAUGGCUGUCGUCAGCUCGUGCCG